rnacentral:snRNA from 1 species
AAAUGUACCUGGCAGGGGAGACACCAUGAUCCCGGUGGUGGUUUUCCAGGGCGAGAUUGAUCUAUUACACUCUGGAUGUGCUGACCCCUGCAAUUUCCCCAAAUGCAGGAAACAUAACUGCAUACUUUGUAGUAGUUGGGGACUGCAUUCACAGUGUUCCCUGG